AGUGAACGCUGGCGGUAGGCCUAACACAUGCAAGUCGAACGGCAGCACAGUAAGAGCUUGCUCUUACGGGUGGCGAGUGGCGGACGGGUGAGGAAUACAUCGGAAUCUACUUUUUCGUGGGGGAUAACGUAGGGAAACUUACGCUAAUACCGCAUACGACCUACGGGUGAAAGUAGGGGAUCUUCGGACCUUGCGCGAUUGAAUGAGCCGAUGUCGGAUUAGCUAGUUGGCGGGGUAAAGGCCCACCAAGGCGACGAUCCGUAGCUGGUCUGAGAGGAUGAUCAGCCACACUGGAACUGAGACACGGUCCAGACUCCUACGGGAGGCAGCAGUGGGGAAUAUUGGACAACGGGCGCAAGCCUGAUCCAGCCAUACCGCGUGGGUGAAGAAGGCCUUCGGGUUGUAAAGCCCUUUUGUUGGGAAAGAAAAGCAGCAGGUUAAUACCCCGCUGUUCUGACGGUACCCAAAGAAUAAGCACCGGCUAACUUCGUG
rnacentral:rRNA from 1 species